rnacentral:lncRNA from 1 species
AGCUCGAGUGUUUGUCCCAAAUCCUCGUUAUCUUACUUACAAUCUCGAAAUCAUAACUUUAGUUUCAAAUGUAUAAGGACAAUGCAUCGAAUGAUAAAAGCAUCUAAAUACCGCAUUAUAUAUUCAAAUUAAGACGAAACUUCCGAAGAGUGUGUCAUUUCAGUAAUUCAAAAGAACUGGAGCGACAGUUAAGAAACUGUAAUUAAUUCAACUAGGUGACAAGUAUGACUUUGUUUAAAAAGGGACUAUAGCUGCCAAUUAAUCUGAAGAUAUGCUGGAAAUUUAAUACUUGUGUCAUGCUAUGUUAUAUUCACUUGAAAUAAAGACAGUGUUUGCAGAGUUGGGAGAUCAGCAGACAAGGUAAGAUUGCACUGCAGCAAACUGUGCUAUAUUGUGGGUUUGAAUUCAGGACAAAACUUCUUUCAAUGCAUUGGUAUUCAUGAAUGUAAGAUCUCAACAAACUUUUCACUUGAAUAAAGUGAUUAAAAGUCUUCAGGAUAUAUUUAGACAAUUCAGACAGAGAUGAGAGAUGAAGAUGAAACAAAGAGAAGCAAUAAUGCCGAGGAUGGACUGAUGUGCCUGGAUCACAAGUGAAAGAACAACAUUGAUACAGGAAGAGUAACUGCCUCAGCUGCAGAAAGAAACAAAGAGAUAAACAAGCUGAAAGAAAUACAGCAUACAAAGAGAACACAAAAUGUCGAAAAGAUAAAGAUGUACCUGCUGAAGAUCAGACAAACGACAGCAUUGUUACUGAUGAUGAAAACUAUUCUGGUAUAGAAAAAAUGAAAAUGAAUGUAAAAACAGGAAAAAUAAAGAACAUAACAUAUUGUGACUGCAUUUCAAGAAGAAAGAAUCACACGAAAAAGAAACACAAGAUCAUUUAAUAUGGAGAGCAAGUUAUAUGAUAUCGUUGCACCAUGUGAACAUAACUUUUGAUGGACAAAAGAGAAGGGUGUUGAGGAGAAGUUAGAUCAGCUUGGAGAUAACCUUUCACUUUGCAAACAGGAAGCUGCAGCAAUAAACAACCUAGAAGAGGCAGAUGUUGAAAACCUGCAACAUCAAACUGUUCACUCCAGACAUGAUGAGAAUGACUGAGGAAGGUACGUCUCCGUGCUUCCAGGAUAAAACUGCUAUAAUAACAGGAGUCUGAAAGGGAUUUGAAGACUUUAUUAGGAUAUUGAGUUAACGCGUCGUGUGGCAAGCGGAUUCCGUAAAACUGACAUGGAUUGAAGAUGCUUUUUAUACAACUGGUGAAAAUCUUGGUUGUUCCGGCGGCAUGGAAGUAGGAUUUGGACAGAAAUAAUAAAAUUGUAAUUAAUGUAUUCAUGUUAGAGACAGUUUUAUAUUUAACUUAGUUCUAUUAAAGAAAAUACAGAAAGUAAUGUGCGUAACAUUGUAGUUUUGCAUUUCGAUGGUGAAAUAAACCCUUAAUGUAUUAACUGCAGAGAUACAUGAUUUGGAUAAUUGCUUUUAACUUGAUAUUUUGCCAUUUUAAAACUCAGCAUACAUUGGAAAUGACAUGGACCAGGUGACAUUCAAAUGAAACAGGAAACAAAAUCCACCACAUAAUUUUAUUCAUUUUACUAACACACAGCAUUUUUUUAAAGUUACAAUUACAAAUGAUUGAAUUGCAUGAUCAGGAAUAAAAAUCAUUACAAAAACACAAUAAUAUCUUUCAGAAUAUAAAUAUAGGUUAAUUUGAAAAAAAAAUACAUAUACAGUUUUCUUCCCAAUAUGCUGUUUGCUCCGUUUAUUAUUGAUAUAUAAUAGUACUUGGCUUGAUCUUGGAUGCUGUAUCCGGCUUGAGUGGAUUUUGCCAGAUCUUAUCUCACAAGGCGCGCAAGCAAAAUCCACGAGAGCUGAUUGCAAAUUCCCAGAUCUAGCUACUAUUAUAAUGACCCAUUUAUUACUUACCUCAACCAUUUUGUUUUGAAUCGAACGAAACCUUCUAUGUUUAUCGAUGUUAAAGUAGAACUGAGUGAAGUUUUUAUGUUUUUAUUAUAACUUCUUGAGAAGAAGUCAUACAGCUUUUAUUAUGUACAAUCUUGACCGUUCCUGAUAAAAUUGUUCGAGGAAAAUUUUAUGGUUGUGUUUGUGGUGUUCUAUGCUCGCUGUUAAUAGAACUUAGCCAGGUCACGCAUGUUAAAUGGAGAGCCUCGCAUUUUAUCAUUUUAUUCAACUCGUUCAAUAAAUUCAAUAUGAAAAGACACUCAUGUAAUAUCCUCUAUGUGAAAUGCAAGCCGUAUUUUUAAUUUACAGACAUAUAAUGAAUAUAUAUAUAUAUAUAUAUAUAUAUAUAUAUACUUUAAUUUAAAACUGGGAUUUAGUGUAUUGUGUAUUGAAUACAAAUGAAAGACUGAAAACUCUUUCGUUGAUGACUUUUUGAUUAGUUAUCAUUAUGAUGCAAACCGUAAAGACUUUUUAAAAUAUUGAAAAAAUAGCAAGUGUUGCUGUUAUGUUUCCCGAUCGUCUGAAAUCAUUCAAUGCAUCUGCAUAAGAAUGUGUCAGGGAGCGUGAGGGUGUUAUUCGAACCAAGCUUAUGUUUUGCUUAUUGCCUUCUAAUUAUUUCAAAUAUUUUUUUAUAUAUAUAAAUUUUCUUGAAUGUAUAGCAAUAAAACAUAGUUGCUUGAA